UCCUGACCGUGCAAAGGUAGCAUAAUCACUUGCCUAUUAAUUGUAGGCUAGAAUGAAAGGACAAACGAGAAUACACCUGUCUCCUUUAAGCCCAUAAAAAUUUAUCUUUAAGUGAAGAAGCUUAAAUAAAAGUGCAGGACAAGAAGACCCUAUAGAGCUUUACCUAAAAGGUACAUAAACAGUAACUAGCGGUUCGGUUGGGGCGACCAGGGGACACUUAUCACCCCUAAAAUAUAAGAUAUACUAAUCCCACUAAAGAUCCUUUUUCAAGAUCAAAGAAUCAAGCUACCUUAGGGAUAACAGGCUAAUCCUCUUAGAGAGCCCUUAUCGACAAGAGGGGUUGGCACCUCGAUGUUGGCUUAGGACGUCUCC
rnacentral:rRNA from 1 species